CCCUAACCCAGUUUUUGGGCACAUGCCAGACUUUUAUUCUGAAGCCGAGGCCACAGCCUAUGAGGUAAUCUUUGGAGCUGCAUUCGAGGCAGAGUCCCAUUGGCUGGCUGGCAAAACCCCUCCCCGGGUUCCCGGCGCCCCGCCUUCCCCAAUGCCCAUAAAAGCGCAUGUCCCCGUCUCGGUAGCCACUGGACACCUGCAUCUGCCAACAAGACCGGAAGCAGGUCAGCGCAUGGACGUCUUCCCAGAAAGUGACAAAGACGGCGAAGUUUGACAGUCUGGAAAGCGGAGACCAGACGGGCUGACUACCUGAGAGCACCGCGACUCCGGACAGCGCCUCUCGGGGUCCGGGAUGGGACCCGCGAUCUGCUUCAGCACCGGGGCUGCGGACAGCUCCUGGCGGAGGCCCGGGGCCCCUCCGACAUCGUUUCAGCACCCGGACAGCGGACAGCUCCCCGAGAUAAUAAGCAGGCGCGAUGAAACCGCACGUAGAAAUCUGUAAUUCCCAGCAGGUGAGAUGUCCAGUCGGUAGGAGUGUGGGUGAACGGGCGCCUGCCAAGAUGACACUGUUGUGCUCUUUCCAGACUUCCGUGAGAAGCAUUGUGCCAAGCGUUUUGCAUAGAUUCUAUCAUGCCAUCUGCAAUCCUAGGACACGGGUGUUACGAUGCCCAGGUGACAGUUGAGAAAACUGAGACCCAGAGAGGGGCAGGGAAUUAUUAGCCCAAGGGCUCUCAGCCCAACAGUGAAGCUGCAAGUCAAUCCCACAUGCAGCCACUCCGAAUUCCGUGUUUCUGACAUGCCUGGGGGGGGGGGGUGGAGUUGGGGCCUUGGAGAUCAGACCCUGCCUCUCUCCAAGAGGACCAGGAAUGGAAAACAGGAGGCGGUGGAGAAGCAAGAAGCCCGGGUGUUCCGGCUUGGCUCAGUUCCAGGGGCCAAUUACAGGACAGGUGUCCACUCGUGCCUGGUAGUUGUGGCAUCAUCAACGCCCACCCCAAAUUCUCUGUGACAUCCUAAUGAAGUCAGAGACACCACGUCAAGCUCGUUGCAGCCUCAGAGUCCUUGCCUUUGCUGUUCCCUCAGCUUGGAAUGCUCUGCUCCCCAAGCACCCCAAGGCUCCCUCCGCCUUCUUAUCCAAGCCUCAGGUCACCAAGAGAAUCUUGUCUCCCACCCCCCCCCCCAUAGCAAGUCUAUAUUAUACAUUCUCAUAGACACGGGAAAUCUCUCUGGCACCUAGUCCAAUUCUUUUGUCUUAUCUGUUUACAGGGCUGUCUGUCUCCCCCCACUACACUGUGAGCCCCUUGAGGACAGAGACUGUGUUUGUAUUUUCCCAGCACUCAUGCAUGGCCUUGCACACAGCAGGUGCUCAAUAAAUGUUUGUUGAAUCAGUAAAGGCAUCAGAGGAUAAAACAACGUAUCAGUCAAUAAAGGAAUUUAUGGUUUCAGUAUGCACAUGAAGGUCCUACUUCUUUCUCCUCGACGUCCCCCACAGAGAUGCCACAGGGUGAUGGUGGCCGCGGGUGGUUAUUGGGGAGUAUAAUUAAAUUUGUGGGCACUCAAGGGCCAGCCAGCCAACGAAUAGCCCCAGGAGAGAGCCAGGCUCGUUUAAUUAGCAAUUACGAGGCAUUGAUUCCUCAUUAGUUCCGGCAACCCCGUCUCCCUCCCCAGCCCCAGACAAAUGAAAUCUUUCUCUCCCC
ensembl:lncRNA